UACGGAGGAUCCGAGCGUUAUCCGGAUUUAUUGGGUUUAAAGGGUGCGCAGGCGGGGGAUUAAGUCGGCGGUGAAAUUUUGUAGCUCAACUGUAAAAGUGCCUUCGAAACUGGUUUCCUUGAGUGUAGAUGAAGUAGGCGGAAUUUGUGGUGUAGCGGUGAAAUGCAUAGAUAUCACGAGGAACUCCGAUUGCGCAGGCAGCUUACUAAACUACUACUGACGCUCAGGCACGAAGGCGUGGGGAUCAAACAGGAUUAGAUACCCCGGUAGUCCCUGA
rnacentral:rRNA from 1 species